CCUCCUGGAAACGGGUGGUAAUGCCGGAUGCUCCGACUCCUCGCAUGGGGUGUCGGGAAAGAUUUCAUCGGUAUGGGAUGGGGUCGCGUCCUAUCAGGUAGUCGGCGGGGUAACGGCCCACCGAGCCUACGACGGGUAGCCGGCCUGAGAGGGCGACCGGCCACAUUGGGACUGAGAUACGGCCCAGACUCCUACGGGAGGCAGCAGUGGGGAAUAUUGCACAAUGGGCGCAAGCCUGAUGCAGCGACGCCGCGUGCGGGAUGACGGCCUUCGGGUUGUAAACCGCUUUUGAUCGGGAGCAAGCCUUCGGGUGAGUGUACCUUUCGAAUAAGCACCGGCUAACUACGUGCCAGCAGCCGCGGUAAUACGUAGGGUGCAAGCGUUAUCCGGAAUUAUUGGGCGUAAAGGGCUCGUAGGCGGUUCGUCGCGUCCGGUGUGAAAGUCCAUCGCUUAACGGUGGAUCUGCGCCGGGUACGGGCGGGCUGGAGUGCGGUAGGGGAGACUGGAAUUCCCGGUGUAACGGUGGAAUGUGUAGAUAUC
rnacentral:rRNA from 1 species